AGAGUUUGAUCAUGGCUCAGAGCGAACGCUGGCGGCAGGCUUAACACAUGCAAGUCGAGCGGGCGUAGCAAUACGUCAGCGGCAGACGGGUGAGUAACGCGUGGGAACGUACCUUUUGGUUCGGAACAACACAGGGAAACUUGUGCUAAUACCGGAUAAGCCCUUACGGGGAAAGAUUUAUCGCCGAAAGAUCGGCCCGCGUCUGAUUAGCUAGUUGGUGGGGUAACGGCCCACCAAGGCGACGAUCAGUAGCUGGUCUGAGAGGAUGAUCAGCCACAUUGGGACUGAGACACGGCCCAAACUCCUACGGGAGGCAGCAGUGGGGAAUAUUGGACAAUGGGCGCAAGCCUGAUCCAGCCAUGCCGCGUGAGUGAUGAAGGCCCUAGGGUUGUAAAGCUCUUUUGUGCGGGAAGAUAAUGACGGUACCGCAAGAAUAAGCCCCGGCUAACUUCGUGCCAGCAGCCGCGGUAAUACGAAGGGGGCUAGCGUUGCUCGGAAUCACUGGGCGUAAAGGGUGCGUAGGCGGGUCUUUAAGUCAGGGGUGAAAUCCUGGAGCUCAACUCCAGAACUGCCUUUGAUACUGAGGAUCUUGAGUUCGGGAGAGGUGAGUGGAACUGCGAGUGUAGAGGUGAAAUUCGUAGAUAUUCGCAAGAACACCAGUGGCGAAGGCGGCUCACUGGCCCGAUACUGACGCUGAGGCACGAAAGCGUGGGGAGCAAACAGGAUUAGAUACCCUAGUAGUCC
rnacentral:rRNA from 1 species